rnacentral:rRNA from 1 species
AAUUCGAUGCUAACCGAAUAACCUCACCAGGGUUUGACAUGCGGUGUGUCGGGUAUGAAAGUACCUUAGGCUAUGAUUAUUCAUAGCCGCGCCGCACAGGUGGUGCAUGGUCGUCGUCAGCUCGUGUCGUGAGAUGUUGGGUUAAGUCCCGCAACGAGCGCAACCCUUGUCCUGUAUUACCAGCGGGUAAUGCCGGGUACUCACAGGAGACUGCCGACGAUAAGCCGGAGGAAGGAAGGGAUGACGUCAGAUCAGUAUGCCCUUUAUGCCCUGGGCUACACAGGCGCUACAGUAGCAGGGACAAUGGGCUGCAACGCUGUAAGGCAAAGCUAAUCCCUUAAACCCUGUCGUGGUGCAGAUUGAGGGUUGCAACUCACCCUCAUGAAGGCGGAAUCGGUAGUAAUGGCGAAUCAGCAAUGUCGCCGUGAAUACGUUCCCGGGUCUUGUACCACCGCCCGUCACGCCAUGGGAGUCGGGUUCAUCGGAAGUCCCCAAGCUAACCUGCAAAGGAGGCAGGGGUCGAUGAUGGGCGUGAUGACUGGGGCGAAGUCGUAACAAGGUAAC